rnacentral:misc_RNA from 1 species
UCUAUACACAUAAGAAGGAGCAUGUAAGUUGAAUAAUCUCAAAUUUUCAAGUGCAUGUUGUUGUGCAUUUUGAAGUAUGAACUUUUUGUUUCUCGGAACUUGGAGUUGGAUUUCUUUGAACCAAACAUAUGUUAUUACCUUGUAGAUGGUCUUAUGGAAUGUGUUUCAUAGUUUUUAUUUAUGCUUUUGUUGGAUGAGAUUUUUUUUAUUAACUGUGCAACUACUUGACUAAUGAACGAAAAAAUUGUAUGUAAUAGGGUGCUAUUGCUUUGUUCGGGAUG